rnacentral:rRNA from 1 species
CCUACGGGUGGCAGCAGUCGAGAAUUUUUCACAAUGGGGGAAACCCUGAUGGAGCGACGCCGCGUGGAGGAUGAAGGCCUUCGGGUUGUAAACUCCUGUCAUUGGUGAACAAGAUUUGCCGGGUAACUCCGUGCUGAUUUGCUAGUAGCCGAAGAGGAAGGGACGGCUAACUCUGUGCCAGCAGCCGCGGUAAUACAGAGGUCCCAAGCGUUGUUCGGAUUUAUUGGGCGUAAAGGGUGCGUAGGCGGCGGAGUAAGUUGGGUGUGAAAUCCCGG